GGAGGGGAGCGAGCGUUGUUCGGAAUCACUGGGCGUAAAGCGCGCGUAGGCGGUCGAGUAAGUCGGGGUGUGAAAUUCCGGGGGCUCAACCCCGUGGACUGCACUCGAUACUGCUCGACUUGAGAGAGGUAGGGGCGAGUGGAAUUCCCGGUGUAGCGGUGGAAUGCGUAGAUAUCGGGAAGAACACCGGUGGCGAAGGCGGCUCGCUGGGCCUCAUCUGACGCUGAAGCGCGAAAGCGUGGGGAGCAAACAGGAUUAGAUACCCUGGUAGUCCACGCCGUAAACGAUGGGUACUAGGUGUUGGGAGGAUUGACCCUUUCAGUGCCGACGCUAACGCAUUAAGUACCCCGCCUGGGGAGUACGGCCGCAAGGCUG
rnacentral:rRNA from 1 species